UUGACGUAACUUUCAUUUUUGUUCUGCGAAAGUUUGUUUACAGAGUAGCCUUAUCAAGAAGGUUUAAGAACUGAUGUUGUUGCAGGGUCUAAAGAAAUGUAUCUAUCAACGAUAAUAGUGAAAUGAAACGAAAAAAAAAAUCAAAAUAGACGCUAGGAUCGAACUCGGGUCCAGUACACUACAACUCAACAACCUUAACUACUACUCAAACGAGGCGCUGUGAAUUCAGGAACCAAGAAGCAGCUACCGAACAAUGAUACUGGAUGAGGACAAGUGGAUCAAGAUUUGAAAAUAUUUCUGACGAGAUGAUGCAUCUAUACUUCCUGCCACUUCCCAACUACGUCACCCCAUAAAAGCUGACUUCGAAAUUGUCAUCCCGUUUUGCACGCAAUGACAAAAGAGUUCACUACCAAGUUGCUAAUCAUUAGGAGACGCAUCAUGUUUCAUCAAUGGGUUCAAAUAAAAAUCAUUCGAAAUGAGACUGCUGUGAUGGAAAUAAGUGAUGAAAUAUUUGUGCUCAGAAUCUCAUAAUAAAC